CGUCAAAUCAUCAUGCCCCUUACGUCUUGGGCUACAAACGCGCUACAAUGGCCGUUACAAAGAGCAGCGAAGCCGCGAGGCGGAGCGAAUCUCAAAAAAGCGGUCUCAGUUCAGAUUGUGGGCUGCAACCCGCCCACAUGAAGUUGGAGUUGCUAGUAAUCACGAAUCAGCAUGUCGUGGUGAAUGCGUUCCCGGGUCUU
rnacentral:rRNA from 1 species